UACGUAGGGGCCUAGCGUUGUCCGGAAUCAUUGGGCGUAAAGAGCUCGUAGGCGGUUCGGCAAGUCACGUGUGAAAUCUCCACGCUUAACGUGGAGGCGCCACGUGAAACUGCCGUGACUCGAGUCCGGUAGGGGAGUGUGGAAUUCCCGGUGUAGCGGUGAAAUGCGCAGAUAUCGGGAGGAACACCAGUAGCGAAGGCGGCACUCUGGGCCGGUACUGACGCUGAGGAGCGAAAGCUAGGGUAGCAAACGGG
rnacentral:rRNA from 1 species